rnacentral:tRNA from 1 species
GAGAGAGGCUCGCCCGCAACUGGGGUUGCUAACCUUCGUGUCCCGGGUUGGAGUCCCGGGCUCUUCUCG